AGUGAACGCUGGCGGUAGGCCUAACACAUGCAAGUCGAACGGCAGCACAGUAAGAGCUUGCUCUUACGGGUGGCGAGUGGCGGACGGGUGAGGAAUACAUCGGAAUCUACUUUUUCGUGGGGGAUAACGUAGGGAAACUUACGCUAAUACCGCAUACGACCUACGGGUUAAAGCAGGGGAUCUUCGGACCUUUCGCGAUUGAAUGAGCCGAUGUCGGAUUAGCUAGUUGGCGUGGUAAAGGCCCACCAAGGCGACGAUCCGUAGCUGGUCUGAGAGGAUGAUCAGCCACACUGGAACUGAGACACGGUCCAGACUCCUACGGGAGGCAGCAGUGGGGAAUAUUGGACAAUGGGCGCAAGCCUGAUCCAGCCAUACCGCGUGAGUGAAGAAGGCCUUCGGGUUGUAAAGCCCUUUUGUUGGGAAAGAAAAGCAGCAGGUUAAUACCCCGCUGUUCUGACGGUACCCAAAGAAUAAGCACCGGCUAACUUCGUG
rnacentral:rRNA from 1 species